CUUACCAUGUGCCAAGUAUCCACUGGGCUCAGACCGAGACUGAUGGGUUAAUACAUGGGGGGGUUGGGGGGGGGGGACAUAAGGAACCAGGACCUCAGUGAGGCCCCAGAAAGCUCACAGGAGGGGCCUCCGAUCCUGCCUGGGGAGGGAGGGGUUAGAGAAGGAUUCCUGGAAGAAGGAGGACCUAAGCUGAGUGUUUCUAUUUUUAAUUUUUAUUGGUUUCCUAAAACAUAAAAGU
rfam:Vicugna pacos cont1.19191, whole genome shotgun sequence.